rnacentral:ncRNA from 1 species
UAAAAGCUUAGUCCUGGCUUUACUGUCAGCUUUAGUCCAACUUACACAUGCAAGUAUCCGCACCCCCGUGAGGAUGCCCCACAGCCCCCAGCCGGAGCCAAGGAGCCGGUAUCAGGCGCAUAAAUUAGCCCAUAACACCUUGCUCAGCCACACCCCCAAGGGUACUCAGCAGUGACAGACAUUAAAUAAUAAGUGAAAACUUGAAUUAGUUAGGGAUAACAGAGCCGGUAAACAUUCGUGCCAGCAGCCGCGGUUACACGGUUGGCUCAAGUUGAUGGCUGUCGGCGUAAGGUGUGGUUAGGAGACAAUUUGAACUAGAGCUGUAUGGACCCCGAGCCGUCUAAGGUUUAGAACGGGUAAGAAAGUCAAUAACGAAAGUAGCUUUAUCUAGUCUGAUGCCACGAAAACUGGGAGACAAACUGGGAUUAGAUACCCCACUAUGCCUAGUUGUAAAAGUUGAUGGGUAACUACACACCCAUCCGCCCGGGUACUACAAGCGCAAGCUUGAAACCCAAAGGACUUGGCGGUGCUUUAGACCCCCCUAGAGGAGCCUGUUCUAGAAACGACUCUACACGUUUAACCUCACCCCUCCUAGUAAGCCAGCCUAUAUACCACCGUCGCCAGCCCACCCCGUGAGGGAAUAACAGUAGGCUAGACUGAACAUAUCCCCGUAUGUCAGGUCGAGGUGUAGCUAAUGAAGGGGGAAGAGAUGGGCUACAUUUUCUAUACAUAGAUCAAACGAAUUAUGCUCUGAAAGCAUGCAUCUGAAGGUGGAUUUAGCAGUAAGCGGAAAUUAGAAUGCUCCGCUGAAGACGGCAAUGAAGCGCGUACAGACCGCCCGUCAUUCUCCCCGAAUCUAUAUUCUAAAUUCCUAAUAAGUUACAAUCGGUAAAGGGGAGGCAAGUCGUAACAAGGUAAGUGUACCGGAAGGUGCGCUUUGCCUAUC